GAGUUUGAUCCUGGCUCAGAACGAACGCUGGCGGCAGGCCUAACACAUGCAAGUCGUGCGCGCCUUCGGGUGAGCGGCGGACGGGUGAGUAACGCGUGGGAAUGUGCCCUUCUGUUGAGGAUAGCCCCGGGAAACUGGGAGUAAUACUCGAUACGCCCUACGGGGGAAGGAAGGAUCAGCCCGCGUCUGAUUAGGUAGUUGGUGGGGUAACGGCCUACCAAGCCUACGAUCAGUAGCUGGUUUUAGAGGAUGAUCAGCCACACUGGGACUGAGACACGGCCCAGACUCCUACGGGAGGCACGGCAGUGGGGAAUCUUAGACAAUGGGGGCAACCCUGAUCUAGGUCAUGCCGCCUGAGUGAUGAAGGCCCUAGGGUCGUAAAGCUCCUUCGCCAAGGGAUGAUAAUGACAGUUACCUGGUAAAGAAACCCCGGCUAACUCCGUGCCAGCAGCCGCGGUAAUACGGAGGGGGUUAGCGUUGUUCGGAAUUACUGGGCGUAAAGCGCGCGUAGGCGGAUCAGAAAGUUGGGGGUGAAAUCCCGGGGCUCAACCCCGGAACUGCCUCCAAAACUCCUGGUCUUGAGUUCGAGAGAGGUGAGUGGAAUUCCGAGUGUAGAGGUGAAAUUCGUAGAUAUUCGGAGGAACACCAGUGGCGAAGGCGGCUCACUGGCUCGAUACUGACGCUGAGGUGCGAAAGUGUGGGGAGCAAACAGGAUUAGAUACCCUGGUAGUCCACACCGUAAACGAUGAAUGCCAGUCGUCGGGUAGCAUGCUAUUCGGUGACACACCUAACGGAUUAAGCAUUCCGCCUGGGGAGUACGGUCGCAAGAUUAAGACUCAAAGGAAUUGACGGGGGCCCGCACAAGCGGUGGAGCAUGUGAUUUAAUUCGAAGCAACGCGCAGAACCUUUACCAACCCUUGACAUCCUGUUGCCACAUCCAGAGAUGGAUGGUUUCCCUUCGGGGACGCAGUGACAGGUGCUGCAUGGCUGUCGUCAGCUCGUGUCGUGAGAAUGUUCGGUUAAGUCCGGCAACGAGCGCAACCCACAUCUUCAGUUGCCAGCAGUUCGGCUGGGCACUCUGGAGAAACUGCCCGUGAUAAGCGGGAGGAAGGUGUGGAUGACGUCAAGUCCUCAUGGCCCUUACGGGUUGGGCUACACACGUGCUACAAUGGCAUCUACAGUGGGUUAAUCCCCAAAAGAUGUCUCAGUUCGGAUUGUUCUCUGCAGCUCGAGAGCAUGAAGUCGGAAUCGCUAGUAAUCGCGUAACAGCAUGACGCGGUGAAUACGUUCCCGGGCCUUGUACACACCGCCCGUCACACCAUGGGAGUUGGUUCUACCUGACGGCCGUGCGCUAACCUUCGGGAGGCAGCGGACCACGGUAGGAUCAGCGACUGGGGUGAAGUCGUAACAAGGUAGCCGU
rnacentral:rRNA from 1 species